rnacentral:rRNA from 1 species
GGGUUGUGAGGUUAAGCGACUAAGCGUACACGGUGGAUGCCCUGGCAGUCAGAGGCGAUGAAGGGCGUGCUAAUCUGCGAUAAGCGCCGGUAAGGUGAUAUGAACCGUUAUAACCGGCGAUACCCGAAUGGGGAAACCCAGUGUGACUCGUCACACUAUCAUUAACUGAAUCCAUAGGUUAAUGAGGCGAACCGGGGGAACUGAAACAUCUAAGUACCCCGAGGAAAAGAAAUCAACCGAGAUUCCCCCAGUAGCGGCGAGCGAACGGGGAGGAGCCCAGAGCCUGAAUCAGCAUGUGUGUUAGUGGAAGCGUCUGGAAAGGCGCGCGAUACAGGGUGACAGCCCCGUACACAAAAGCGCAUGUGCUGUGAGCUCGAUGAGUAGGGCGGGACACGUGGUAUCCUGUCUGAAUAUGGGGGGACCAUCCUCCAAGGCUAAAUACUCCUGACUGACCGAUAGUGAACCAGUACCGUGAGGGAAAGGCGAAAAGAACCCCGGCGAGGGGAGUGAAAAAGAACCUGAAACCGUGUACGUACAAGCAGUGGGAGCACAGGUUUACCUGUGUGACUGCGUACCUUUUGUAUAAUGGGUCAGCGACUUAUAUUCUGUAGCAAGGUUAACCGUAUAGGGGAGCCGUAGGGAAACCGAGUCUUAACCGGGCGUUAAGUUGCAGGGUAUAGACCCGAAACCCGGUGAUCUAGCCAUGGGCAGGUUGAAGGUUGGGUAACACUAACUGGAGGACCGAACCGACUAAUGUUGAAAAAUUAGCGGAUGACCUGUGGCUGGGGGUGAAAGGCCAAUCAAACCGGGAGAUAGCUGGUUCUCCCCGAAAGCUAUUUAGGUAGCGCCUCGUGAAUUCAUCUCCGGGGGUAGAGCACUGUUUCGGCUAGGGGGCCAUCCCGGCUUACCAACCCGAUGCAAACUGCGAAUACCGGAGAAUGUUAUCACGGGAGACACACGGCGGGUGCUAACGUCCGUCGUGAAGAGGGAAACAACCCAGACCGCCAGCUAAGGUCCCAAAGUCAUGGUUAAGUGGGAAACGAUGUGGGAAGGCCCAGACAGCCAGGAUGUUGGCUUAGAAGCAGCCAUCAUUUAAAGAAAGCGUAAUAGCUCACUGGUCGAGUCGGCCUGCGCGGAAGAUGUAACGGGGCUAAACCAUGCACC